CGGGGCGAGCGGAGAGGCCCGCAGGGCUCGCGGGAGUCCAGGGGCAGACGGGAUGGGUCUCCGUGCAGAAGCCCCCGACACGCCCGCCACAGCUUAGAAGCAAAAUUAACAGACUCAUCAGAUUCUGAGCUUCUGCGGGAUAUUUUGCAGAAGACUGUGAAGCAUCCUGUGUGUGUGACGCACCCGCCGUCAGUCAAGUAUGCCCGGUGCUUUCUCUCAGAACUCAUCAAAAAGCCCUCAGGAGGCUCAGUCACACUCUCCUAGAGCACAGCCAUCAUCUCCCAGGCAUCACAGGCCUGGUCACAUGGGAUGCUACCCUCUACCUUGCAGAAUGGGCCAUCGAGAACCCGGCAGCCUUCACUCAUAGGACUGUCCUAGAGCUUGGCAGUGGUGCUGGCCUCACAGCCCUGGCCAUCUGCAAGAUGUGCCGCCCCCGGGCAUACAUCUUCAGCGACUGUCACAGCCGGGUCCUCAAACAGCUCCGAGGGAAUGUCCUUCUCAAUGGCCUCUCAUUAGAGGCAGACAUCACUGCCAACUUAGCCCCAGAGUGACAGUGGCCCAGCUGGACUGGGACAUCGCGAUGGUCCAUCAGCUCUCUGCCAUCCAGCCAGAUGUUGUCAUUGCAGCAGACGUGCUGUAUUGCCCAGAAGCCAUCGUGUUGCUGGUCGGGGUCCUGCUGAGGCUGGCUGCCUGCCGGGAGCACCAGCGGGCUCCUGAGGUCUAUGUGGCCUUUACUGUCCGCAACCCAGAGACAUGCCAGCUGUUCACCACCGAGCUAGGCCAGGCCAGGAUCAGAUGGGAAGUGGAACCUCGUCAUGACCAGAAACUGUUUCCCUAUGAAGAGCACUUGGAGAUGGCAAUGCUGAACCUCACACUGUAGGACUCACACACGACUCCAAUGGGAUUGUGAGAAUCAAGUCACUCUCAAGGGAAGAGGUUUCAUAUGGGAAAGCUGAUAAAACUUUCACUGGACUGGAAUGUUUGGAGAAUGUUAAUUUCCAAAUCAGGAACUACAAACUGCCCUCUAAUAAGACAUCGGCUAUCUAAGCGUGUGGGUGCUCCCUUUCUGCCAGCAGUUCUGGUUCUUAAGGAAAUCGCCAUCACUCAGACAUGAAAACUCUGGCUCCAAAAAUAGCAUUUUCUUUGUGCAAAUAAAAACGUGUGUAUCAAGUAUGUGGACACACUCGGUUCCUCACAAAGCCAAGCCUGCUGCAGCUGCCACAUCCCUGGACACACUUGGUUCCUCACAAAGCCAAGACUGCUGCAGCUGCCACAUCCGCGGACACACUCAGUUCUUCACAAAGCCAAGCCCGCUGCAGCUGCCACA
rnacentral:lncRNA from 1 species